ACCGACGAGGGUGACUAUCAGGUCAAGAUGAAGAACCUGACGCGUUUCCUCGAAGGUGGCGACAAGGGCAAAGUGACACUGCGUUUCCGUGGUCGUGAAAUGGCGCACCAGGACAUUGGCCGUAAGCUGAUGGAGCGGAUCGCCGCCGAUCUCGAAGAGAUUGGUACCGUGGAGUCUUUCCCUAAGAUGGAAGGACGUCAGAUGAUCAUGAUCAUUGCCCCCAAGAAGAAGUGAUUCGACGGCCCGUCCAACGGACAGAAGCUUACCCUGGCUUUUGUCGGCCCCGAAUUUUCUAAAAAACCUCGAGCGGAGUUUACUCUCAUGCCGA
rnacentral:misc_RNA from 1 species